GCGUGGUGGAUGGCUCGGUUCUCGCGUCGAUGAAGGACGUAGCGAAACACGAAAGGUGUUGCGAAUUGCAAGAUUUCGCGAGUCAAUGAUUAUCCGAAUGCAUCGUCAUCCCUUCGUAACUUAGUUGCAAGGGAUGCGUCGGCGACAUCGGCA
rnacentral:rRNA from 1 species